UACAGAGGUGGCAAGCGUUGUCCGGAAUUAUUGGGCGUAAAGAGCUCGUAGGCGGUUUGUUGCGUCGGCCGUGAAAACCUGCAGCUUAACUGUGGGCCUGCGGCCGAUACGGGCAGACUUGAGUUCGGUAGGGGAGACUGGAAUUCCUGGUGUAGCGGUGAAAUGCGCAGAUAUCAGGAGGAACACCGGUGGCGAAGGCGGGUCUCUGGGCCGAUACUGACGCUGAGGAGCGAAAGCGUGGGGAGCGAACAGG
rnacentral:rRNA from 1 species